rnacentral:lncRNA from 1 species
GGCGGGUCCCUCCUUAGUUAGCUGGUCAACUGUGGAUUUGACGGCAACUAUUAGCCAAUGAAAAAAAAUGUUACAUCCAAAUUGUAUUAGAAUAAAGUGUAUUUGAUCGGACUUUCUGUUACAUAUGUAGACACGCUUGGAUACUAUAUAUGAGGGUCUGGAUGGGGGUCCUUCACUUCUGUAUUCUUUAAUUCAUUUGGGUAUUUUUUCUCUAUUCUUUCUAUUUUUUACCCAUUAUUCUUUUUUCUAUAUUUUCUUGUCCUAUUUUUCUCAGUUCUAUAUUUUUUUUUGUUUGUCCUAUUUUUCUCAGUUUCAUAUUUUUUUGUCCUAUCAAGUUUUCUCAGUUUUAUAUUUUUUUGUCCUAUUUUUCUCUGUUCUUUAUUUCAAUGUCCUAUUUUGCCCCUUAUUUUGCACUUAAUGCCCAUUAUUAUCCUUUCUGUAAACCCAUCAACACUCAUACAAAUAACUAUAAUGACUAAUAGUGAAUCAAUUCAGGAAGGGUUUUUGUGACCAACGUAAUCAAAUGGAGGUAGUACCAAUUCCCUCUGAAUAAUCUUACAACAGGACAAUUUUCGGGGUCUUUAC